AUGUUAUCACCCCGACACCUUUUAACAAGAGAUAGAGACGAUGAAGGCUCCAGAAUAGAAAAUCCAAUUGUCGAUGUAGUCAACUAUUCAACCUCUGGGGUUAUACCCGGUGUAGCAUUUGCAACUACCAGGAAGACAGUCAACACAAGUAGAAUCUAUACUACCAGAGGAGGAGUAGAGGAAACGACAGGAGCCAUCGAUAUCUGUCUACAUAAAAUGGUCAUAAGACCCUGA